rnacentral:tRNA from 1 species
GGGGCUGUGGCUCAAGGGAAAAACCUCUGCUUGGCAUACAGAAGGUUCCGGGUUCAAUCCCCGGCAUCUCUA